GGAGGCCUGAUGGAGGUCUGAUGGAGGCCUGAUGGAGGUCUGAUGGAGGCCUGAUGGAGGUCUGAUGGAGGCCUGAUGAAGGCCUGAUGGAGGUCUGAUGGAGGCCUGAUGGAGGCCUGAUGGAGGCCUGAUGGAGGUCUGAUGGAGGCCUGAUGGAGGCCUGAUGGAGGCCUGAUGGAGGUCUGAUGGAGGCCUGAUGGAGGUCUGAUGGAGGUCUGAUGAAGGCCUGAUGGAGG